CAUAGUGUUGAUAGUAGGAAUAUAAAUUGAAAAUGCUUUUUUAAGUAAUGCAAGCAGCCAGCCCGGCCCGCCCGCGCCCGUCCGCAGCCGCCAGCCAGACGCGCCCAGCAUAAGGGAGAUCGUGCACAUCCAGGCCAGCCAGUGCGGCAACCAGAUCGGGGCCAAGUUCUGGGAAGUCAUCAGUGAUGAGCAUGGCAUCGACCCUAGUGGCAACUACGUGGGCGACUCGGACUUGCAGCUGGAGCGGAUGAGUGUCUACUACAACGAGGCCUCUUCUCACAAGUACGUGCCUCGGGCCAUUCUGGUUGACCUGGAACCCGGAACCAUGGACAGUGUCCGCUCAGGGGCCUUCGGACAUCUUUUCAGGCCUGACAAUUUCAUCUUUGGUCAGAGUGGGGCCGGCAACAACUGGGCCAAGGGUCACUACACGGAGGGUGUGGAGCUGGUGGAUUCAGUCCUGGAUGUCGUGCAGAAGGAGUGUGAAAACUGCGACUGCCUGCAGGGCUUCCAGCUGACCCACUCACUGGGGGGCAGCACGGGCUCUGGCAUGGGCACGCUGCUCAUCAGCAAGGUGCGUGAGGAGUAUUCCGACCGCAUCCUGAACACCUUCAGCGUCAUGCCCUCGCCCAAGGUGUAAGACACGGUGGUGGAGCCCUACAAUGCCGCGCUGUCCAUCCACCAGCUGGUGGAGAAUACGGAUGAGACCUACUGCAACGACAACGAGGCUGUCUACGACAUCUGCUUCCGCACCCUCAAGCUGGCCACACCCACCUACGGGGACCUCAACCACUUGGUGUCGACCACCAUGAGCAGGGUCACCACCUCCCUGCGCUUCCCGGGCCAGCUCAACGCUGACCUGCGUAAGCUGGCCGUCAACAUGGUGCCCUUCCCCCGUCUGCACUUCUUCACGCCCGGCUUCGCCCGCCUCACAGCCCGGGGCAGCCAGCAGUACCGGGCCCUGACCGUGCCCGAGCUCACCCAGCAGAUGUUUGAUGCCAAGAACAUGAUGGCUGCCUGCAACCCACACCACGGCCACCACCUGAUGGUGGCCACCGUGUUCCGGGGCCGCAUGUCCAUGAAGGAGGUGGACGAGCAGAUGCUGGCCAUCCAGAGCAAGAACAGCAGCUACUUCGUGGAGUGGAUCCCCAACAAUGUGAAGGUGGCCGUGUGACAUCCCGCCCCGCGGCCUCAAGAUGUCCUCCACCUUCAUCGGCAACAGCACUGCCUUCCAGGAGCUGUUCGAGCGCAUCUCCGAGCCGUUCACAGCCAUGUUCCCGCGCAAGGCCUUCCUGCACUGGUACACGGGCGAGGACACGGACGGGAUGGAGUUCACCGAGGCCGAGAGCAACACGAACGACCCGGUGUCCGAGUACCAGCAGUACCAGGAUGCCACGGCGGCGGAGGAGGGCGAGAUGUACGAAGACGACGAGGAGGAGUCGGAGGCCCAGGGCCCCAAGUGAAGCUGCUUGCAGCUGGAGUGAGAGGCAGGUGGCGGCCGGGGCCAAGGCCAGCAGUGUCUGACCCCCAGAGCCAUCUUGCUGCCGACACCGUACCCUGCUUUCCCCUCGCCCUAGGGCUCCCUUGCCGCCCUCUUGCAGUAUUUAUGGCCUCAUCCUCCCCACCUAGGCCACGUGUGAGCUGCUCCUGUCUCUGUCUUAUUGCAGCUCCAGGCCUGAUGUUUUAUGGUUUCGUUUUUUACUGGUUUGUGUUUAUAUUUUUGGGGAUACUUAAUAAAUCUAUUGCUGUCAGAAAC